UACGGGGGGGGCAAGCGUUGUUCGGAAUUACUGGGCGUAAAGGGCUCGUAGGCGGCCAACUAAGUCAGACGUGAAAUCCCCAGGCUCAACCUGGGAACUGCGUCUGAUACUGGAUGGCUUGAAUUCGGGAGAGGGAUGCAGAAUUCCAGGUGUAGCGGUGAAAUGCGUAGAUAUCUGGAGGAAUACCGGUGGCGAAGGCGGCAUCCUGGACCGACAUUGACGCUGAGGAGCGAAAGCUGGGGGAGCAAACAGG
rnacentral:rRNA from 1 species